CAAGAAACCUACUGGCAUGGCAUGCUCCCUAUAAUUACAGCUACCUCCGCCGCCGCCGCAAGUUUUUCGUGAGUCCGUUUAGUCGCACGGUAGCGCGCGCCAGGUCUCCCAUACCGCGCACUUUGGCAGCGUUGAACGCGCUGCUGAAGGAGUCCCCUCGCUGUGACAUAUUUGCUGACAAAUGGGCUGACCUCAUAGGUCAGAUCCUGCACUUUUGUGAAAAUUUGUAAUUUUGGUUUUUAAAA